GUGAAUCAUCAAAUUUUUGAACGCAAAUUGCGCUUUCUGGUAUUCCGGAAAGUAUGCCUGUUUGAGGAUCGGUUAAAUAAAAAUCAAGGUUGUUUCUUCUUUUCUUGGUGACUCGUCGGAUUUGAGUGGUGUUACUGUCGUGUAAGGAACUUAAAAUUUUGCAUGAUUUGCGAACGAAGUUAAAUUAUGUACGUACGCUUGGUAUAUUUAAUA
rnacentral:misc_RNA from 1 species